rnacentral:rRNA from 1 species
UACGUAGGGGGCGAGCGUUGUCCGGAUUCAUUGGGCGUAAAGAGCUCGUAGGCGGCUUGGUAAGUCGGGUGUGAAACCUCCAGGCUCAACCUGGAGACGCCACUCGAUACUGCCAUGGCUAGAGUCCGGUAGGGGCCCACGGAAUUCCUGGUGUAGCGGUGAAAUGCGCAGAUAUCAGGAGGAACACCGGUGGCGAAGGCGGUGGGCUGGGCCGGAACUGACGCUGAGGAGCGAAAGCGUGGGGAGCGAACAGG